UACGUAGGGGGCAAGCGUUGUCCGGAUUUAUUGGGCGUAAAGAGCGUGUAGGCGGCUUGGUAGGUCCGCUGUGAAAACUCGAGGCUCAACCUCGGGCUUGCAGUGGGUACGGGCAGACUAGAGUGCGGUAGGGGUGACUGGAAUUCCUGGUGUAGCGGUGGAAUGCGCAGAUAUCAGGAGGAACACCGACGGCGAAGGCAGGUCACUGGCCGCAACUGACGCUGAGGAGCGAAAGCAUGGGGAGCGAACAGG
rnacentral:rRNA from 1 species